rnacentral:antisense_RNA from 1 species
CUAUAUGGUGGCUGUGUUUGGGACGCCUUUAGGCGUGCCGGCCUUUAUGGGUUCCAACGGUUGACCAACCCGAACACAGUCCGCCUCCAUC